rnacentral:rRNA from 1 species
AACGAACGCUGGCGGCAUGCCUAACACAUGCAAGUCGAACGAGACCUCCGGGUUUAGUGGCGCACGGGUGCGUAACGCGUGGGAACCUGCCCGUAGGUUCGGAAUAACUCCCCGAAAGGGGUGCUAAUACCGGAGAAUGUCAUCGGACCAAAGAUUUAUCGCCUUUGGAUGGGGCCGCGUUGGAUUAGGCAGUUGGUAGGGUAAAAGCCGACCAAGGAGAGGAUCCAUAGCUGGUCGGAGAGGAUGCUAAGCCAGACUGGGAAUGAGACCCGGCCCACACUCGUACGGGAGGGAGCAGAGGGGAAUAUUGGACGAGGAGGGAAAGCCUAAUCCAGCAGUGCCGGGUGAGUGAUGAAGGGGUUAGGGAUGUAAAGCUCUUUUAGCCGGGAUGAUAAUGACAGUACCGGGAGAAUAAGCUCCGGCUAACUACGUG